rnacentral:piRNA from 1 species
UGAAGAAGAUGGAAAUACAUGAUGAAACAU